rnacentral:rRNA from 1 species
GACGAACGCUGGCGGCGUGCUUAACACAUGCAAGUCGAGCGGUAAGGCCCGUUUCGGGGGUACACGAGCGGCGAACGGGUGAGUAACACGUGGGUGACCUGCCCUCAGUUCUGGGAUAAGCCUGGGAAACCGGGUCUAAUACUGGAUAUGACCUCAUGACGCAUGUUGUGGGGUGGAAAGCCUUGUGCGACUGAGGAUGGGCCCGCGGCCUAUCAGCUUGUUGGUGGGGUGAUGGCCUACCAAGGCGACGACGGGUAGCCGGCCUGAGAGGGCGACCGGGCCA